CGAACGCUGGCGGCGUGCUUAACACAUGCAAGUCGAACGCUGAAGCUUGGGUGUUUACAUCUGGGUGGAUGAGUGGCGAACGGGUGAGUAAUACGUGAGUAACCUGCCCUUGACUCUGGGAUAAGCCUGGGAAACUGGGUCUAAUACUGGAUACUACACAUUCUCGCAUGGGGGUGUGUGGAAAGGGUUUUACUGGUUUUGGAUGGGCUCACGGCCUAUCAGCUUGUUGGUGGGGUAAUGGCCUACCAAGGCGACGACGGGUAGCCGGCCUGAGAGGGUGACCGGCCACACUGGGACUGAGACACGGCCCAGACUCCUACGGGAGGCAGCAGUGGGGAAUAUUGCACAAUGGGCGAAAGCCUGAUGCAGCGACGCCGCGUGAGGGAUGACGGCCUUCGGGUUGUAAACCUCUUUCAGCACGGAAGAAGCGAAAGUGACGGUACGUGCAGAAGAAGCGCCGGCUAACUAC
rnacentral:rRNA from 1 species